GAUGAACGCUGGCGGCGUGCCUAAUACAUGCAAGUCGAGCGAACGGACGAGAAGCUUGCUUCUCUGAUGUUAGCGGCGGACGGGUGAGUAACAAGUGGAUAACCUACCUAUAAGACUGGGAUAACUUCGGGAAACCGGAGCUAAUACCGGAUAAUAUUUUGAACCGCAUGGUUCAAAAGUGAAAGACGGUUUUGCUGUCACUUAUAGAUGGAUCCGCGCUGCAUUAGCUAGUUGGUAAGGUAACGGCUUACCAAGGCAACGAUGCAUAGCCGACCUGAGAGGGUGAUCGGCCACACUGGAACUGAGACACGGUCCAGACUCCUACGGGAGGCAGCAGUAGGGAAUCUUCCGCAAUGGGCGAAAGCCUGACGGAGCAACGCCGCGUGAGUGAUGAAGGUCUUCGGAUCGUAAAACUCUGUUAUUAGGGAAGAACAUAUGUGUAAGUAACUGUGCACGUCUUGACGGUACCUAAUCAGAAAGCCACGGCUAACUACGUG
rnacentral:rRNA from 1 species